AUAAUGUGAUCGGAAAUGAGAUUUAAAAAUUUUUUUUUAAUUUCUAAUAAUGAAAUUAUGUUAAUUGUUCAGAUAUUAGCAUGUCAGUUUGAAAAUAUAUUGAAAUUAAUAUCUAAUUUGAUUAGCAUUUCAUUUUGUUACAAUAAAAAUACUUCUGACAUUAAUAAACUUUGGCCAUUUACAAUUCAAAACAUUAAAAAAAAUUUCACAGUUGAAGGCCCAAGCCAUUAAUACCUUCCAGAUGGCCACAUGAAUAAAUCAGUCCUUCAUUAUGUAGAGGAUACAGAUUUACUUUCAGAUCCUAUAUCUAGAUUUUUCUGAAGAGGUCAAACCUGGCUCAUUUGAAUCUCAUCCUCCAACCUUCUGAUUGACCUCAUCUUUGAUAUUAGCCAGACAAUGGUGGCAUGUGAAGUGCUCAUCAUCAAACAUAUUCUUUGAGAUUUGGUGGUUUGAGUAAAACUAAGUUAACUUUGUUCAAGACAUUAAUUUAUAUUAUUAUUUGUAAUAAUUAUAUAUAUUACAUCCACAUAUAUAUAUAAUAAUCUGUAUACAUACAUACUUGC
rnacentral:lncRNA from 1 species